UCGGACGGGGGUGGUAACGCGUGAGAAUCUGCCUUCAGGAUGGGGACAACAGCUGGAAACGGCUGCUAAUACCCAAUGUGCCGAGAGGUGAAACUUAUAUGGCCUGAAGAUGAGCUCGCGUCUGAUUAGCUAGUUGGAGUGGUAACGGCACACCAAGGCGACGAUCAGUAGCUGGUCUGAGAGGAUGAUCAGCCACACUGGGACUGAGACACGGCCCAGACUCCUACGGGAGGCAGCAGUGGGGAAUUUUCCGCAAUGGGCGAAAGCCUGACGGAGCAAGACCGCGUGAGGGAGGAAGGCCUACUGGUUGUAAACCUCUUUUGAUAGGGAAGAACACAAUGACGGUACCUAUCGAAUCAGCAUCGGCUAACUCCGUGCCAGCAGCCGCGGUAAUACGGAGGAUGCAAGCGUUAUCCGGAAUUAUUGGGCGUAAAGCGUCCGUAGGUGGUUAGCCAAGUCAGCUGUUAAAGCGUGGAGCUUAACUCCAUAUCGGCAGUUGAAACUGGUUAGCUAGAGUGCGAUAGGGGCAAGGGGAAUUCCCAGUGUAGCGGUGAAAUGCGUAGAUAUUGGGAAGAACAUCGGUGGCGAAAGCGCCUUGCUGGGUCUGCACUGACACUGAGGGACGAAAGCUAGGGGAGCGAACGCGAUUAGAUACCCCUGAUACUCACGCGUUAUC
rnacentral:rRNA from 1 species